UACGGGGGGGGCAAGCGUUGUUCGGAAUUACUGGGCGUAAAGGGCUCGUAGGCGGCCAACUAAGUCGGACGUGAAAUCCCCAGGCUCAACCUGGGAACUGCGUCCGAUACUGGAUGGCUUGAAUCCGGGAGAGGGAUGCAGAAUUCCUGGUGUAGCGGUGAAAUGCGCAGAUAUCAGGAGGAACACCAAUGGCGAAGGCAGCUCGCUGGGACGUGACUGACGCUGAGACGCGAAAGCGUGGGGAGCAAACAGG
rnacentral:rRNA from 1 species